AGUGAACGCUGGCGGUAGGCCUAACACAUGCAAGUCGAACGGCAGCACAGUAAGAGCUUGCUCUUACGGGUGGCGAGUGGCGGACGGGUGAGGAAUACAUCGGAAUCUACUUUUUCGUGGGGGAUAACGUAGGGAAACUUACGCUAAUACCGCAUACGACCUACGGGUGAAAGCAGGGGAUCUUCGGACCUUGCGCGAUUGAAUGAGCCGAUGUCGGAUUAGCUAGUUGGCGGGGUAAAGGCCCACCAAGGCGACGAUCCGUAGCUGGUCUGAGAGGAUGAUCGGCCACCCUGGAACUGGGACACGGUCCAGACUCCUACGGGAGGCAGCAGUGGGGAAUAUUGGGCAAUGGGCGCAAGCCUGAUCCAGCCAUACCGCGUGGGUGAAGAAGGCCUUCGGGUUGUAAAGCCCUUUUGUUGGGAAAGAAAAGCAGCAGGUUAAUACCCCGCUGUUCUGACGGUACCCAAAGAAUAAGCACCGGCUAACUUCGUG
rnacentral:rRNA from 1 species